UACAGUCAGUAACUCUGAAGUCGUUAAUAAAAUGUUCAUAAUGGCUACAAUUAGAGCUUCUGCUGGCUUUAUUUUUGAAUUAAAAUACAUUUUUCAAUGGGCUCUUCAAUGCUGCAUUUUCUUGUCAUGGGGUUGCAGACUUUGUUGGUGAUAGUUUUUGCGUGAAGCCUGCCUUCCUGAGUCACAGAGCAGAGGUGCCUCAUAAUGUCUGUUUCAAACACAACCAGUGUCCAUCAAUCAAUAGCUUUGUGGCGAACGACGUGUGUCCUUUCCAUAAUUUAUAAUUUUUAGCGACUAAACCCACACAAGUCUGCCUGGCCUGGAGGGACGCGGUUACAGAGAAGGAACAGGGAGGACAGGUCGUGCUGUGCUGCCCAGCGGCAGGGAGAUAUUCCGGGGGGCUCUGCUGUAAUGUGUCAUAAAGCACUGACUGCAAAGGAUGCAUUUUUCUUUCUUUUCCUUCUCCUCAGCCUGCUUUUACCCUCUUCUUAUCCCUGAUUUUUUUCCCCUCAGUCUCUUCCAGUCUCUCUGAAACACACAUAAAUUUUAUUCUUCUGCUCCUGCAACUAGGUUCGGCCAUUCCCCUUUUUCCACUAGUUCACUUUUUCCACUGUUUUCUCUUUGUAUUAUAGAUCAUAUCGCAAAAGCAGUGCAAACAGCACCUCCCAGUGCCUUUCAGGUAUAGUGUUUCUUGUCCCAUUACAUGCCUCAAGAGACAGAAACUGCUCUGCAUGUUAGGUGUGGUGCUACACAAAUAAAACUCUGGAAGCAGAGGGGAAAAUGACCACCAAGCCUUGGCCUGCAAUUCCGGGCUCUCUCCAGGUCUCCUGCAGAACUCCCAUCAAAUGCCCGUAUUUCUGCACACGCAGUGCUGCCAGGACCAGAUCCUUAAAAUCAGUUGAUGCUCAGCUCCCUGCUACCGUAUUUGUGGCAUCGGGGGGGAUAAAUUCACCUGCAUUUCAAGGCAGAAUACAUUUGUCUCUGCUUUUUCCUGGUUUCUGCUCACACAAAGCACAUUAGCAGACCGAAGUUACUAACUGCUUCCUGCUUCUGCUCGUAUUCGAUGUUUUGUAGUUACCACGGCUGACCAACAAGCUGUAAAUCUUGCCUGGUGUUUUGUAACAGAGAGAAAACCAGGAUGAUUUGUGUCGACUUUUGGGCAUCGUGCAUCAUUAUUGAUUCGAGGGAGGGUGGUGAGAAGAGCGUAGUGCGGAUCUGCUCCUUGCAGACCGUCCCAGAAGGUGGUGGUAGCUAGCAGUCAGCAGAGGGCAAUAGAGAAAUACGGUUUGUGAUACCUACAGGGUUUGAAGCACUGAUUAUGUGUUUACAAAAAAAAAAAAAAAAAAAAAAAAAAAAAAAAAAGGAAAGAAGAAGAAGAAAAGAAGAGCCGGGAGGGUAGGUUGUUCAGUUUACUACUGAAGACCUGACUGUGACAGACCACCGGGAAAACAACAUUUUCAGAGAGAGGAAAGGAGACCUUCUUUAGCAUCUCUCCGAGUCUCUCCUUUUUUCUUCAGAGUUACAUAGGAUAACUUAGCCAGAACUUACUGAUGACUGCACGCUCAGCGCACUCCGGAAUGGACGGGGAGAUGCAGGAAAGCACCCUUUGGAAGGAACAGAAGAGGAGGCAUUUCAAAGAUCCUGCAGGUGACCGAGGUGAUGAUCUGCUGCCAGAAUAAAUAAAUCAUAGGAAGUGCCAAGACUGCUCAGCCAUUUGCUGCGAUACCACUCCCACAUAAGGAACCUGUACCAUCACCUUUUUUCAAGCAGCUUCUCCACUGUGAAUCCAGCAGCUGUGAAAUUUAAAGUUAAGUAUCUUCAGGGGUUCUGAGACAACGCUUGAAGGCAGCAAAGCAGGCCUUUCUAUGUCUGCAGACAGAUCCACAGUGGCCAGAAAGAGAAGAAAAAAAUCAUAUGUGAAGAUACCUGCAAAAAAGAUUUCUCCUCAGAAUAAUAACACAUUCUUUCAGGCACAAUAGAGUAUAGGAUAACUCUACUGAAGAUAACACUGUUACUGCAAGAACAGAGCUGAGUUUGGCUCAUGAGGAGCAGAGAUCUUCCCCCUUAUGAAAACUACCAUUCGCAGGAAGACACAUGGAGGAAAAAGGAAUGAUGUUAAGGAAAAAGGAAGUUAUAGGAGUGGGAGGCUGCCAUGGUGAUGACCAACCUUCCACUGCUUUAAGUCCUUAAGUGUAAUACACUGUGUGUUCUGGAUUUAAUUACAGAGCUGGAAAGUAGAACUAAUAAUGUUGCACAGUUUUGUCUUCUCCUUCUGUCUGAUCCGCAGCUAAUUAAAAUAGACAUUAAUUAAUAUGUGCUUUGGGGUUCCCGAACUUUAGGUGAUUUAAGUGUUAUAAAUAAUAUAUUAUAACUUAUAGCACAUGGAUCACUAUGAAAGAGUUUAAAUUAAUGUCACUAACUAAAAUGUGACUGAUCUUUAAUGCCCUGCAUGGUAGGGAACAGAGCAUCUACAUCUAUCUCCAUGUCCCAGCACCUUGGAAGAAGUCAGUUCAGCUGUCAGUCCCUGGGCUGCCUUCUCAAGCCAGCUAUGGAGGGCAUUUGUGGCAGAAACUGUCCAUCUUUGAUCUCGCAGCCUUUUUAUGAUGUAAAGACUUCACCUUUUAGUCAGGUGCUUAACAGGCUAGUGCUGGUUUUAUAUCUGCUCUAUAUAAGUUUCAGGUUUUGAGCGUGGCAUUUUUUAAUGGCUUUGUGCUUUUAGUUCUCAAUGCAUCUAUGUACUCAUGUUGGGGGUGAUACAUGGGGGAUAACUAAAAAUUCUGAAAGCAUUUUUACUAGCUUCACAAUUGCUUUUGUCUUUGCACCCAGUUUUGUCUUUGCACCCAUUGCUGCCUUUUUAUGACGGUUAGGAUUAAGCAUGUGCAUUGUCAGCAAAUUAGACCUCUUGGUCUUGUGUACUUAUUUAGAAGAAAAAUCAAAUGAGCAGUAAAAAUGGUUGUGAAUGUUAAUAAAAUCGACAGUACUAGGUAUAUGCAAGAGUGAAGGCUCCAUUAGUGUUAAAUAGGGAAAGUCCUGGUCAAAUUGGACAGCUUUUAAAUGAUCAGCACAGUGGUGCAAGCCGUAUACACACCUUAUGGAUGACAACGUCUUCUCCUUCACACGCAUGCGGAGAGGAAGAGGCUCACCUCCCUGCUAGGAGUAAUCUCCUGCAGAUCUCCUUCAGACAAAUCUUUAAGUCAGACAGUCCUUUAGCUUUCAGGAAAAGGUUAAAGAUCUGCUUUUCAAAAUGACCUCUCUGUUCUGGCCUUCCACCCCCAUGCCCUCCAUACACAUAGUGAAAGCCUUCUGUUAGAGAGGAUUCAAAUCAAAUACUCUGGCUACUCACAAUUUUGAAUGUGUCUGGAUUUCCAGACUGCUGUUGGGUGCUGAUUCCUUCUUAUAAUCACCAUGGCAGCAAUACUUAACUCAUUCUGGUUAAAAAAAAAAAAAAAAAAAAAAAAAAAAAAAAAAAAAAAAAAAAAAGCUUUUUAGGCACUUUGUCUAUGAAGCACCAUACCAAUAAAAAAGGAAGAUAAAUUUUGUAAUUUAUUUCAUGACAACACAAAAUUGGAAGCCUGCAAUCAGUGGGAAGUAAAAGCUUUCAAAAAUAAAGCUACAAGGUGAUAAGUUAAAAUUGCUGGUUGUCACAUCUAUCCUACUGCUUUUAUCCAUAACUGCUCUGUUCCUUGUAUAAAAGCGUGGCUUUAUUAGCAUCCACCAGGGGCCUUCAGAUGCCAUAAAGACCUUGGGGCUCCCAGGUUAAUGACUGGUAUUAAUUACUACCGAUAUACAAAUUUCUAAGGCUACAUACCAGUUGCUAUGUUUUAUCUGAGGGGUAUGUAAAAUUCCAGUCUCUUACCUCAUUUCAUGUCACUGGCUUCAGCACUGGGCUUUACUCUAAGACAAGGCUAUUUACAGGUACCAUGGAUAGCUGGAUUUGUGUUUGACUGCUAAAAGGGUCAGAGCUUUUGCAGCAAAAUGCGCCUUCCCACAGGCUUCCAGGGGAAAAAAUGGAGCUGCUGCUUUGGUUUAGCCUCCUCUCUGAAAGCACAGUCAUUCUAGCUCUUGCAGAAAUGAAGGAACAGGGUGGUUAAUGGCUUAUAUGAAAGAUGAGAAACAAAUGUACAGCUUCCCAGCCUUUUUCCUGGCCCAGCAGUAUCUCUCUGUAUUUUUUUUUUUUGCAUUUGAAAUACAGCCUGUCACUAUACUGCUCUUCCUGAGCCCUUCUUUAGUGCUGUAUUUGCACAACCAGCCAUUUCUUGGAAGGUCUGGGGCAGCCAUGGGCACCAUCUCCCUGAUGGCAACCCAGGAGGUUGGUCCAGGCCUGCAGUCCUUCUUGGAGCAGGCUCCAAGGUUUGCAAACAGACACUCUGAUGUUUUCUCCUCUGAUGUCCUUCAUGCUGGGGGACUACACUCUGCAAAUAUCCAUCAACAUCUGCCUUACCACCAUGCUGCAAAACUGUUUUAUUUCGUAGCUCCAUUUAUGAGUUACCAACUGCAUAUACGACAAUGCUGAUAGCCAGUGGGCUGACACUGUAACUUCUCACUGGGUUAGCAUUGCCUCAUUCUGUUCUUCCCACAAUGGGUAGAUGACAUGUGAAACUCCUUGCCAAAGGGUAUGGUAGAUAUAAAAAAUUUAGAAGGGCUGACUGAAGCUCAUGAAAAUAAUCUGCUAAGCAUUAUUAAAUACAUAAAACCCACACUCAGGUGAGAAAGGUCUUGAGCUAAAAUCAUUAAAGACAGAUAGAUGAAGAUAAAUAGAGAAGCAAGAAGUUUCACAUACAGUUGUAUCGUUCUUACUGUUCCAAAAGCAUCCACUUUUGGCCGUGCUUUGCUGUUGUUGUUUUAUUUUUUAUUAUUAUUGAGGCACCAGAACAAAAGAUUGUCAACAGUCCUAGGAGCAAAAACUGUGUUCAGAGAUCUAUCAAUGUCAAUUCUAUAAAAGCAGAGUGAGACAAAGGCCUCCUUGCUCUAUUGGAGUGGAAAGGUCUUUGGUCUAGCCCACUGUGGCUACUACUUAUGGUGUUCUUUUAUGUAUCUGAAAUGGGAAUCAGAAUCAGUGUUUAUCUAUCUGUUACCCUCUUUAUUGUUUUCCCUGUAGCACAACUAAAUUACUUACACACACAUGGAGUAUUAAAACAGCGGCAUCCAGGACAAAAAAGUAACUCGAGCCUUACCCCCACAUCUCAUUGACAACUGAAGUGCUCUGAUAAGUGUGAGAGGUCAGUGACAUCCUGAACCACAGUGUUGUCUUGAACAGUAGUCUUUUCAACCAGAAGAGGGUGAAGCAGACACCAGUGCAUCUUUUACAAAGAAUUUUGUGAUGUUUUCCCUGUGAUUUCUUCAAUGAAACAGUAUGAGAGAUACAGCUGUGGGUUUUAGGUAUUUUGUCCAGUGCAUUUUCUACCAGUAGAAAUUGAAUAGAAUCAUUUUCUGCCUUUGAAAUACCAGGUACCAUAUUGAUCUUUCUCUUAUAAAUGCUGUUAUUAUGGGUUUUGAUGCCUCCCUGCUUAUAACAAGACAAGGAGAUUUGUUGUAUAGCAUGGUUCUGUAUAUGUUUUGUAAAUGAGCAUAAUUUUGAAGGAUGAAGAUUGCUUUUUUUUUUCACUGAGGUUUGAGCUAGAAAACCAGUAUUUACAGGAGGAAGAAUUUUUGAACCUUUGAACCCCAGAGAAGGUUUUUAUUUAAUAGGUAAUUUCGCCUUUAUCUGCAUUCUUUUAUGUGGGAUUACAAAGGUAAUUUAUCUGUCUGAAUACUAGGACAGCUACAGGGACUAAUUUUACCUGACUAUUGUCUCUUAAGGAGAAGCACAAGUCCUCAUUUACCUAAUACUAGCAUUCCCUUUAUUGUAAUUUUUGUUUGUUUGUUUAUACAAAUACAUUGCUUUACAAAUUUCCCAGACCUCCAUCUUCUCCCACCUCUAUAAGCAGUAUUUCCCAGGCUGGAGAUGAAGACUUCCCUGGGUGGAAUGACAGAUAACUUCAGUAAUACGAUUUUAUAUCCAAACCCUCAAUGAUUAUUUAAGCACAGAUUCUCCUGUCGAAGCUGACAGGGCCUUGGUGCCUGUCGGCUCUUAGCCCUGCUACGCCGGAGUGCUGGCAAAAACUGGGGGUGUAUGGCUCAUUGCCAGCUCCCUGACAAGGGCCAGCUCUCAGCAUCACUUUCUCGUGCUGUAUCAUAAGCAUCCACAAUCUGCAGGCGGCGCUGGCUAUGAAGCUUGCUACAUUUCACAUAAGCACAGCCCCCGCCUACUAUGAAUGUCUCGUUGGAAAGUAGCAGUUACUCUCCCUUGCUUUCUCUCAUAUGUGCAUAGCUGUAGACCUUGUCCCUCUCUGUCCUGUCAUCUGAUUGAAGGCAGAAAAUAGACAGUGCUCCAAGUUUGUAUUGCACCCCACCGGAAACAUCCCUGCUGUCCUUUGGCAUCCAGCCCAACUGUAAGUGCCAUCGCUGGACAGACUCUGAUCUAGAGCUUGGCCUGUGCUGAACCAAGCAUUUUUAGACCGUUCUGACCACCAUUUACAGUAUUUUAAUUAAUUUUCAGCCAAUUCACUUGAUUUACUAUAGGAUCACAUGCUGUAGUCUAGAUUUACUUAGAGACACCUUAUGCAGAUAACAUAUCUAGUCUGCGUAAAUGCAUGACACUGAUUAAUCUAAGCCAUUUUAAUUAACCUAAAUACAAAAUCCAACCAUAAGAUUUUUUGUUGUUGCUGUUGUUCUUUACUGACACAUUGCAGAUGAACUAACGACACCUGUAGCAACUAAAGACUAUACUGCCGAAUGAUUCCUGUAACGAAUGUAUAGAGUCUCAAUUUCUUUGUUUUCCUUUGCCUUUUUUCCAUCUUCACUCCCGCAGCUAUCUGUGGGAACCUUGUGUUUUGUUAUCUGUUCAUUUCAUUCUUGGUAUUGAAAACAUGAUGUCCCUGAUGCUGCCCAAAAGCAACUUUAGCCUUAGGAAAAUGAGAAAAACAAUAAACAAUAUUCAAGAGAUA